CCUACUCACAUUGAAACACCGGUUGGCGUGCGAUCACCGAAGUUAAGCAACGUCGAACCUGGCCAGUACCUAGAUGGGUAACCGCUUGAGAAUACUAAGAGUUGUAAG